rnacentral:rRNA from 1 species
CCUACGGGAGGCAGCAGUGGGGAAUAUUGGGCAAUGGGCGAAAGCCUGACCCAGCAACGCCGCGUGAAGGAAGAAGGCUUUCGGGUUGUAAACUUCUUUUGACAGGGAAGAGCAGAAGACGGUACCUGUCGAAUAAGCCACGGCUAACUACGUGCCAGCAGCCGCGGUAAUACGGAGGAUGCGAGCGUUAUCCGGAUUUAUUGGGUUUAAAGGGUGCGUAGGCGGAAUAUCAAGUCAGCGGUAAAAAUUCGGGGCUCAACCCCGUCGUGCCGUUGAAACUGAUGUUCUUGAGUGGGCGAGAAGUAUGCGGAAUGCGUGGUGUAGCGGUGAAAUGCAUAGAUAUCACGCAGAACUCCGAUUGCGAAGGCAGCAUACCGGCGCCCAACUGACGCUGAAGCACGAAAGCGUGGGUAUCGAACAGGAUUAGAUACCCUAGUAGUC